rnacentral:rRNA from 1 species
UACGGAGGAUCCGAGCGUUAUCCGGAUUUAUUGGGUUUAAAGGGUGCGCAGGCGGAAGAUUAAGUCGGUGGUGAAAUUUUGCAGCUCAACUGUAAAAGUGCCAUUGAUACUGGUUUUCUUGAGUGUGGAUGAAGUAGGCGGAAUUUGUGGUGUAGCGGUGAAAUGCUUAGAUAUCACGAGGAACUCCGAUUGCGCAGGCAGCUUACUAAACCAUAACUGACGCUCAGGCACGAAGGCGUGGGGAUCAAACAGGAUUAGAUACCCU